UACGUAGGGACCGAGCGUUGUCCGGAAUCAUUGGGCGUAAAGAGCGUGUAGGCGGCCACUUAAGUCCUGCGUGAAAUCUUGCGGCUCAACCGCAAGCGGUCGUGGGAAACUGGGCGGCUAGAGUGCGGGAGAGGAGAGUGGAAUUCCUGGUGUAGCGGUGGAAUGCGCAGAUAUCAGGAAGAACACCCGUGGCGAAGGCGGCUCUCUGGACCGAUACUGACGCUGAGGCGCGAAAGCGUGGGGAGCAAACAGG
rnacentral:rRNA from 1 species